rnacentral:rRNA from 1 species
GACGUAGGGCGCGAGCGUUGUCCGGAUUUAUUGGGCGUAAAGAGCUCGUAGGCGGCUUGUCGCGUCGACUGUGAAAACCCGCGGCUCAACUGCGGGCCUGCAGCCGAUACGGGCAGGCUAGAGUUCGGUAGGGGAGACUGGAAUUCCUGGUGUAGCGGUGAAAUGCGCAGAUAUCAGGAGGAACACCAAUGGCGAAGGCAGCUCUCUGGGACGGUACUGACGCUGAGACGCGAAAGCGUGGGGAGCGAACAGG